rnacentral:lncRNA from 1 species
AAAAUAACCAAUAAAAGCCCCAAGGCAUAAGCAAAAUAAAAAGUAACCAAUAAACGAAGCCCUAUAGAUUGCCAAUACCAAUUUCUGCAACAACACAUAUAGGUGCAAACAUUUUAAUUUUCCAGCUGCAUUUAAUCAUAUUUAGAAACAGAAUUCUGUCAGUUUAAGACUCUGAGUCCAUAUACCAUAUGAAUUAUAAAAAAUGGCUUACAAAAAAUCAACUAUCAGAUCAAUUGAUCUUAUGAAUUUUAGUUUCUCUCCAGAUGAAUAUAGAUAAAAAUAAAAUAAAAUAGUGAAAUUACCACAGCCAAUUCAUAUCAAAACAAGCUGCCUAUGAGAUAAAGCAGUAGUAACUAACAUCAACAGGAAGAGAGACAGGCGCUGCGAGCUGUUGUAUCUUUUAAAAAGAAAACCCAUAAACUGUUUCAAUUAAUAAACUCAAAUUGAGAUGGUACUUAGUGUUCGACGUGGUGGCGCUGCGAGCUGGUGAAGGAGGAAUGCAGGCGCUAAAAAAAUAAUCAAACCAUGACGAGAGCUGCAAAAUGGUUUAGACAAAAUGGCGGAGAAGAGAGUCGCGCAUCAAAAAAUAAUGACAGCAGAGAGAGAGAGAAAUGGAGGAGUCCGUGACGGUGGACGGAGCAGAAGUUGGCGACGACAGUUAAGGAUUUGGAAGAUUACGGGUUUUGGGAAUUAGGAAAAUGCAGGAUUAGAGAUUUUGGUAAAAGUUAUGAAAAGGAAGAGAGUGGGAACAAGAAUGAAUUUACUUACAAUUCUGUGGUCGCUAGGUGGUUCCGAUCUACUAAGUGAAAAAGCAGGCCUGUUGUCAUUUCACUUAAUGCUAUUUAUGACCAAUCGACACAUGGUCUCUUGUUUUAAGUUAGCAACCACCACUUGUAAUCACUAAACCAAAUGCUUAAUUUCGUUGCCGCUAACUUUCCUGCCAUUUUU